UACGUAGGGGGCAAGCGUUGUCCGGAUUUAUUGGGCGUAAAGAGCGUGUAGGCGGUUUGGUAGGUCCGUUGUGAAAACUCGAGGCUCAACCUCGAGACGCCGGCGGAACCAUCAGGCUAGAGUCCGGAAGAGGAGAGUGGAAUUCCUGGUGGUAGCGGUGAAAUGCGCAGAUAUCUGGAGGAACACCGGUGGCGAAGGCGGCAUCCUGGACCGGUAUUGACGCUGAGACACGAAAGCGUG
rnacentral:rRNA from 1 species